ACCGCUUUCGGCGUGCUUACACAUGCAAGUCUAACGGGAUCCAUCGCCGUAGCUUGCUACAUGAUGGAUCUAGUGGCGAACGGGUGAGUAACACGUGGGCAACCUGCCCUGAAGACCGGGACAACACGGGGAAACCCGUGCUAAUACCGGAUAACCUGCCUUUCCCGCAUGGCAUCGGCAGAAAAAGGAAGUUUACUUUCGCUUCAGGAUGGGCCCGCGCCCCAUUAGCUUGUCGGUGAGGUAAAAGCUCACCGAGGCGACAAAGGGUAGCCGGCCUGAUAGGGUGAACGGACACACUGGGACUGAGAUACGGCCCAGACUCCUACGGGAGGCAGCAGUGGGGAAUAUUGCGCAAUGGGCGAAAGCCUGACGCAGCGACGCCGCGUGGGUGAAGAAGGCCUUCGGGUUGUAAAGCCCUGUCAGGGGGGACGAAGGGAAACUGACGGUACCUCCAGAGGAAGCCCCGGCCAACUACGUGCCAGCAGCCGCGGUAAUACGUAGGGGGCGAGCGUUGUCCGGAAUCAUUGGGCGUAAAGAGCACGUAGGCGGCCUGUCAAGUCGGAUGUGAAAACCCGUGGCUCAACUGCGGGACUGCAUUAGAAACUGGCAGGCUAGAGUCCAGUAGAGGAAAGUGGAAUUCCCAGUGUAGCGGUGAAAUGCGCAAAUAUUGGGAAGAACACCGGUGGCGAAGGCGGCUUUCUGGGCCUGAGACUGACGCUGAGGUGCGAAAGCUAGGGGAGCACCAGGAU
rnacentral:rRNA from 1 species